UUGCGGCAUGGGAUGGGGUCGCGUCCUAUCAGCUUGUUGGCGGGGUGAUGGCCCACCAAGGCGUUGACGGGUAGCCGGCCUGAGAGGGUGACCGGCCACAUUGGGACUGAGAUACGGCCCAGACUCCUACGGGAGGCAGCAGUGGGGAAUAUUGCACAAUGGGCGCAAGCCUGAUGCAGCGACGCCGCGUGCGGGAUGGAGGCCUUCGGGUUGUAAACCGCUUUUGUUCAAGGGCAAGGCACGGUUUCGGCCGUGUUGAGUGGAUUGUUCGAAUAAGCACCGGCUAACUACGUGCCAGCAGCCGCGGUAAUACGUAGGGUGCGAGCGUUAUCCGGAUUUAUUGGGCGUAAAGGGCUCGUAGGCGGUUCGUCGCGUCCGGUGUGAAAGUCCAUCGCCUAACGGGGCAUCGUCGCCGGGUACGGGCGG
rnacentral:rRNA from 1 species